UCUCCUUUGGUGCACCAGCGGAGGGAUCAUUACAGAGUUUUUAACUCCCAAACCCAUGUGAACUUACCAUUGUUGCCUCUGCGGAGCCUACCCUGUAGCUACCCUGUAGGGUGGUUACCCUGUAGCGCCCCGCCGGUGGAUUUUCAAACUCUUGUUAUUUUUAGUAAUCUGAGCGUCUUAUUUUAAAUAAGUCAAAACUUUCUACAACGGAUCUCUUGGUUCUGGCAUCGCUGAAGAACGCAGC
rnacentral:misc_RNA from 1 species